UACGUAGGGUGCAAGCGUUGUCCGGAAUUACUGGGCGUAAAGCGCACGUAGGCGGCUUUGUAAGUUAGAGGUGAAAGCCCAGGGCUUAACCCUGGAAUUGCCUUUAAGACUGCAUCGCUAGAAUUGUGGAGAGGUAAGUGGAAUUCCGAGUGUAGAGGUGAAAUUCGUAGAUAUUCGGAAGAACACCAGUGGCGAAGGCGACUUACUGGACACAUAUUGACGCUGAGGUGCGAAAGCGUGGGGGGCAAACAGG
rnacentral:rRNA from 1 species